CUUUCGCGCCUCCGCCCCUGGGUUGGCGGACCGGGGAAGGAGCGAAGAUGGCGGAGUGAGGCGUGCCCCGGGCAGCUGGCCUGCGGGCCCGGGGCAGGCCUCCCGCGAGAAGCGGAGUGCUUGUGCUGGACCGUGUGAGGAACCAUAUCACACAAGAUGAAAAAUUUCCUGACCUUAGGUGCUUUUAUAUUCAGCUCAACAUUCUGAACUCAGGACUUGGCCCGUAAGUAGGAAUGAGAUAAUCAUCCCAAGUCCUGUUGUAGCAGCUGAGAGGCUCCAUAGAAGCAGCACACUAAACUGUUAAGAGCAACAGAAGAUGAAGAUAAAAAUGAGUACAAGCCAGCUGCCAUGGCUCGCUUUUAACCCAGCUCCUGGGACCUGGGGAACUGAGGAAUUCCUAUGUGGACUUCUCAAUGAGGCGUCCUGGUUCUUCCAUCCUGUUACUUUCCCCAAUGAGAUGCAGAUGUCUUUCUACCGAUUACCUCCAUGGUUUAGGAUGCAAAGACUGCCUUUCUUUUACUUCACGUCAGACUCAACACAGGAAAGCCGGGAGGAUGCAGCCGUCCUGUUGACUUCAGGAAGAAAAUAAACAAUGGACUUGGGUCUUCUGCAGCUUUUUAGUUAGAAAGACAGUGUUUGCAAGUAGAAGGAAGAUGUUGAAUUUGAAACAAGUACUUAGGUUCUGUGGCGUGUGUUUUCUUUUUAAAAGAUCCAAACAAGAAGACUGAACAAAAUACCAAGUGUGGGUGACUUCAGGUUUUUUUUUAAUGUCUUCCAAUUUUAACACUAUUAUAAGCACAGUUGACCGCAGUAAGUUCCAAAUAUUUAAUAUAAUUUGAAGUGAAAGAAAUGUUAUCUAAAUUCUGGCUCACUCUUUGACAGAUUUCCUGGACAAAAACAAGAUACGAUAAAAGCAGAAACCAAGGGUUGGUUUUGUAUGGGAGUGAAACCAUUACAGUUUUAUGUGUAUAAAUCUACAUUUUUAAACAAGAUUUUUCUCUUGGAGAAGAAACCUGUUGUUUAUAAGAAGGCUUUGGACAGUUUAAUAGUCUUAAAUGUUCUGCUUUGCUGUUCUAGUCCUUCUCAGGAAGGCCCAGCUGGGCCUGUGGCUAGUUCAGAAUGGGAGGAAACAUAGGCUGGGACAAUGCUCACCCUGAACUGCCAGCAUGUGGGAGACCAAGGCAGGAAGAGCAGAUGUUCAGGGCCAGCUUGGACAUCAUGAUGAGACUCAAAACCAGCAGGAAAAAAAAACAGAGUCCAGUAACACCCUCUUUUAUAUUCCUUUUGUGGAAUCAUAUGUAGGAUGUGAGACUGGGUUGGAAGGGAACUGGCAUAUGUGGUCUUGAGUUAAGGUGAUGUGGUGGACCCUGGUGUGUAACUGGCCUUCACCUUUGGACAUAGAGGAAUGAAGGAAAAACUAAGGCUUGGCGUAUAAAUCCUUUCUUCUAAGAAAUAGAAGCAAAGCUGUCUAAUGCAGCAUUGUCUGACUUUCCAACAUUUUUACAUUAUGUAGUUGCAUUUUUUAUAAAAAUAUAAAUAAGUUCCUUCAACCCAAAAUAGGUACUUGGACAGGUUUUUUUUUUUUUUUUUUUCUGGGUGAUAAUGUAAUGUUAUGCUGAAAAUCUGGGACUCAGGUAAAUUUUCCCAGUUUGAAUUGAGCUAUGUUACCAGAGAAUGGGCCUCAGAAGCAAUGUUCCCAGUCCUGUGAUUGGUUCACUAUAAUCUCAAAAGAAAUUUGGAAUAUGAAUCAAAUUUCAAAUAAGAAAAGCAGAUCCGAUAAGAAGUGUGGAUCUAGUUGCUAGUCACUGUAGAUUUAAAGGAAAUUCAGGGCCUGGGGUGGGGGGGGAUAACUCGAGAAAAUUAAUUCCAGUCAGGGGUGACAUGCUCUUUCUUCCUUUAGUAGUUAUGUUAGAAGGAACUAUUGUGGAGAUGUCUCUUUCUUCCCAGUCAAUGGAAGUUUAUUAUAUGGAUGCCAGGCUUUUACAUGAGAGGGUACCAUUGUUUGCAAAGGUUGCCGGUAGAGAAGGAGUUUUAAGCUUGUUAGAUGAGAGAGAAACAGAUGCUGUUAGAGCUGACUUCUGGAACGGGUUCUCAGUGCUGCAGGUGCUGUGAAUUUGAGUCAUAAAAAUGUUCAAAAUUAGAAAAUGUUGAACAUACAUGGUUAGUCAGAUUGGGCAACAAAAUUGAAUUUAUGCUAAAAGCUUUUUUCAUGAAUAUUUAUUAUAAAUAACCUAUUAAUGAGAGCAAAUAAUAAUAAAAUACUAGAGAAAUAACAUGUUUAAGGUAACCUAAAUUGCUGGGCUUGGUUGCUCACACCUGUAACCACAUUUUGACGACUGAGGCAGGAGGAUAGGCCACAAAGAUCAAGGCCAGCCUGAAAGACAGACACUGUCUCAAAAUGAAACAAAAAUAUAACCCACAUUUUUCAAGGGCCCCAGCCACUUAUAUUUUUAUUUAGAAGACAAAGCCAGCUGGUGGUUGAGAGCACUUCCUAGAUGCUGAGCUGUCCUGCACCUUGCCCUUGGGCAGGCAGGGGCUGUCACUGCUAGGGAAGUGUCCCCCAUUUGCUCCAGGUGCUUCAGGUGAGUGCACUUUGUCUGAGACGCUCGCUCCUGCAUCCUGCAUCAUUAACACCAAAUGGUGUUCACAGCAUGGGUGGAUCCCAGCUCUAAUUGCCUGGUGUGUGUGUGUGUGUGGCACUUUUCCAUUUAUAGUCUUACUUGGGGUUUCUUCUUAAUAGCAGCAAAGACUACCAUUUUAGAGUUGUGCCUCCAUCUAUAGCUGUGCCUCCUCCCUUCUCCAUGUAAGCUGGCAGUUUUUCUUUUGAAGUUUCUAAACAAAAACGGGAUAUGUGCAAUAUAUAUAAAUAUAUAUAUAUAAUGUAUAUUUUAAUACUUGUGGACAAGUGUUACAAGUUGUUUAAGAACAACAAAAUCACCAAUGUCUUCCAUUUUGAGAUGUGUAUAGUUUUUGUAAGCAGUACUGCUUGAUAGCAUAUUGUAGUGCCAUGUUAGGGGUUAGUGCAUGAAUUUAGUAUAAUUUUAAACUUCAAGAUGAAAUAUUGAUAAUAACCAGUAGUGUAAAAAGUGGAAAAUCCUAGACCUUUCCUUUUUUGUGUGUAUGAAUAUUUGACAGUCUCCCUGGGGAUAGGAGAAAAAGGCCAAAACAACUAAUGUCUGAACAGAAGUGUGGGUUCACACUGAGAGACACUGUGCUUGGGGGAAUGUUAGGCCUUUCAGAGGGGAGCUAGAAUAGCUACCUUUGUAGCUCCUCAGUCCUCACAGCAAGGCCUGGGUUGAGGCUUCCCUUGCUCUCUUAGUUUGAAGCUAGAUUGGUCCUGUAUUGAUUUGGCAUUGUAUGUUUUGGGUUCACUUUUCCUCUUUUGUGUCCAGAAAAUAAUUUUCUGUUUUGCAUGUCUGAGAUGCUGUGCUGAUUGCUUUGGAAUGUUUACUCUGUGGCCAUUUCCUUUCCUGCUUGCAGCAUGUGUGCUAACUGCAAAGCCUUGUCAGCAGUUUGGAGUAUCCUGUACUUUAGGCUUUGCCCCAUCCCACAUCUGACUUGGGUGUUGAGUCCAGUCUCUCUCAUGAGAACUGAUAGCUCAGUGGGGCCCAUGUAGGUUGACAAGAAGUAUGUUGGCCUCUCCUUUGGUAAUUGUUGAGAGCUUUCACGUUUUUUCUACUUUCCUUAUGGAAAUAAAGUAGUUGCUUUGUUCUGAAAAAUAAA